AGAGUUUGAUCAUGGCUCAGGAUGAACGCUGGCGGCGUGCUUAACACAUGCAAGUCGAACGGUGAAGCAGGAGCUUGCUCUUGUGGAUCAGUGGCGAACGGGUGAGUAACACGUGAGCAACCUGCCCCUGACUCUGGGAUAAGCGCUGGAAACGGCGUCUAAUACUGGAUAUGUGACGUGACCGCAUGGUCUGCGUUUGGAAAGAUUUUUCGGUUGGGGAUGGGCUCGCGGCCUAUCAGCUUGUUGGUGAGGUAAUGGCUCACCAAGGCGUCGACGGGUAGCCGGCCUGAGAGGGUGACCGGCCACACUGGGACUGAGACACGGCCCAGACUCCUACGGGAGGCAGCAGUGGGGAAUAUUGCACAAUGGGCGAAAGCCUGAUGCAGCAACGCCGCGUGAGGGAUGACGGCCUUCGGGUUGUAAACCUCUUUUAGCAGGGAAGAAGCGAAAGUGACGGUACCUGCAGAAAAAGCGCCGGCUAACUACGUGCCAGCAGCCGCGGUAAUAC
rnacentral:rRNA from 1 species